GCGGAAGUGGCGGAAUUGGCAUACGCGCAGGUCUCAGAAGCCUGUGCCGCAAGGCUUGAGGGUUCGAAUCCCUCCUUCCGCACCA
rnacentral:tRNA from 1 species